CAGCCAUUCUGGAGCAAAUUCAAAAUUCUGGAGAAAUUUAAAAAUCGCGCUGGAGGCUCCAGAAUGGCUGCAAAUGGCGAAAUUUUGAUUUGGUGGGUUAAUAUCAGUUUUAGGACUUAUUUUGAACAUUUUUAUUGAUCAAGUACGUACUUUUUUUUAAAAAAAAAAGCAUAAAUCACCAAAAUAGUCAAUUUUGGAUUUUCAAAAAUUCACCAAAAAUCGAAAAAUGAACUUGGGUAGCUGAAAAUUUGGAUUUGGGGUUUUAGAACAUGCUCUUUCCAAAAAUUGCGGUCCCGUUCAAAUCGGAGGCGGACACCUCGAGAGGUUCCCUUGUUUGGUAGAGAAUGAUUUCAUUGGAAGUGUUUUUUUUUGUUUUUUUUUUAUAUAAUAUGGGUACUUUGAAGAAUCGUGGCUUCCUCCUCUGAAUACCAGAGGGCCUUAGAAAAAUGUUGGAUGAGUUUCAACUCAAAAAUCAAAACCAACAAUAUAUGUGCUAUGUGCUUACAUGUGAACAAAAUCAAAGAGGUUCGAAUUUUUCCAAUUAAAUCUGCUCGACCAAUUGAGAAAAUAUCUUCGUAAAUAAGAAAUUUUUAAUUAAAACAUUUCUGAGAUGACCGCUUGAACCUACUUACUUAUCAUAAUAUCAUCAAUCAAAUAUUUUUGUAAUAGAAAUUUGUUAGUGAUGGUAUAUUGAACUUAUGAUCUGCCUGCUGUAAUCAUUUUUCAAAAUAAAUUUAUUCAUUAUUACUCGCUUACUUUAGUUCAAAAUAGAAUACCUACAUAAAUUUUUAAUUUAUAUUCACUUGAAAGGUCGAGUUUGUUAAAAUCUUCAAAAUAUGCGCUGGUUCCUAUUCACAAUUGGAAUGAUCUCGAUAAAUUUAGUUUUAAAUGCAGUUCUAAUUGAAGGAAGACUUCCCACCGCCGAAGAAGAAGAAGCACUUAAGAACAUUCAAAAAAGAUAUCCGAAAUCGGCAGAUGCAUUGAGAAGAGCAUUGGAGGUUGUGAAUGAACAGGGAAACUUUAUAAAUCCUGAUAAUCCGGAGAAUGUAGGCGGCAGAACGAGAAGUGUUGAAUGAAAAUUCUGUUCGCGUCGAAUACAAUUUUCGAUUCAUUUAUGGGAAGCUCUAACUCAACGUAUACUUUUAUUUAUGUGUAAUUUAUUCAUAUGUAUGAUGCUUGCGCAAAAAUGAAUGAUUUUUGAAGCAAUAGAAUUGCUUUCUUAAAUUACGGAAAAAUAUCUUCAUUCCUCCAUAUCUUCUGUCAUCUUUCUACAUCUACUUCAAAAUUUUUUUACUAGGAACCUCGUAAGUGAAAACCUUCGAAAUUUCAUAAAAUACCAUUUAAAUAUCAAAAUGCAAGUUUUCAACAACACUGAUCUCAAUUCUGUGACUCGUUUGGCCCAAUAACCAAUAUUAAAGCCCCCUAAAAGGGGCUUGCGUCCCUGAAUUUAAAAAAAACGCCAUCAAUUUUGAUUUCGUGGUUCAAUAGACUUCAUAGGAUUGACUCUGAUCAACUUUCCGUUGAUUAAAAAUACAUCAUUCAAACCAUACUCGAAUAGAAAAACAAGAAAGUACGUGUAAACACUUUUAUCAAAGAUAAACUAGGUACCUUUAGAGAAAAUCAAAUAAAACCCACAACACAACAUGUUUAUCGAUUAAAUGCACUUCCCGUACUGACGCACGAACUGAAAUUCUCACGUUUCAGUGAAAAUUUCCCUUCACUUAGCACCUAAUCAUGUUUACGAAACAUUCUCGUCUAACGUUAGGGCGCCUUUACAUACUACAAUGUAAGUUUACAGAUAAAAUCCCCGAUUACACUGAUCGAAAAACACGUACAAAAUACACAAAUACUAGGAAGUUUUUACAGUGUUAUAUUAUCAAGUGGAAUAAACACAAUAAAUUAAACAUAAAACAAAUGCAUAUCAGCUGAUCUCAAAGCUGAAUAAAUAUUCCUCGCUCUUUCUCUGUCUCUCGUAUUCGAAUAAUUCGAUACAUUAAAAUUGGGAUAAAAAUUCGGGAAAACUUGUUUACAAAAAAGGAAAAAAAAAAGGAAGGUAACCGACGAUGCUAAUUUUUUCUCCGCUGCUCUACACCG